AGUGCUGCCUCCCCCUCUUACCUACCAUCCCUCCUGGUUCUGACUUUGACAGGAAAAAUACAACUGGCUUGAACAUUCUAGGGGGACUGAAAUGUGAUUUUAAUUUUUUUUUAAUUUUUAAAUGCAAGAACUAUCUGUUCUUCAAAUCCUCCCACCCAAAUAUCAGAGGAUUAUUUGCUAAUGAGAAAUAAUUACAUCUCAAUAUUAAGUGACACAAGUUGUUGUUUACAUACAAUGUGGGAAUCCAGCAAGAUAUCAGGCAUAUGUUUAGGGGGAUUAUGCACAAGAAGUGAUUUCUCUUGUCAGAGAGCUGAGCCUUGCAAAUGAAAAUGACAGAUACAUGUGUUUAUAGGCAGGCUCCAGAUCUGGAUGUAUUUGCUUAUCAUUUCUCAUAAAUGCAGAUAUAUGCAGCACAAGUGCUAAUACAGCAUAAGCUGGAACAUAUGCUCCCCUCCAGCAGCUGUGGUGUGAAUCCUAACACUCAUGGGAUGCUUCAGGUUUGUGACCAGCAAGAGGAUUUGCACUGGUAAGCUAACAUAAAAACAAUGAACCUUCCUAUGGGUUGUUGCACAAUCCAUGGAGAAAUCCCAAAUGGAGAAGGUGAAGUACAGCCCAGCUUUCAGCUUCUGUUGCUGGCAGUCAACUGCUUUAGCAGCUAUCUGGAGCUAGCUGUUGCAUUGCUUAGCCAUGAUGUACAGAAGUGUUGGAAUAUGAACGCUUAUGUCAUGUUAUGGCUUUGAAGUGACCUGUAGAAAUCACCUAAUGCUUCAGUAUUUCCUUCCGGCUCACUUCAAAGCUGUAACUUCCAGUAUUUCUGUCCCAACACCUUGCAGAAACUCCUUGAAGACUGCAUCUGCUUAUUUCAUAUGCACGGGCACUUUCUUAGUUGGAUGGGAUUAUUAUUUAUUUGAUGGUAUAUUUACAGUUCAUCUCCUCUCCAGUCGGCGACUCCUUCCUGUGAGCUCUACUGGAGGAUGCUUUUCCAUCACAGUGAAAGGGUAUAGGAAAGAAAUAUCUGAAUUUACCCAUUCACACCGUGCAAAGAAGGAAUAUUAUUAAUACUCCCCUAAAAUUGUGUCCUGGGAUGUAGAUCUUAGUCAGUGAGAUUAUAGUAAACAGUAUUUUGGUACUGAUUUUUCCACUGAGACUAAAUACAAAAAUAAAUAGAUAAAUACAAUGAAAACUAGGUAUAUUUUUCCUACUUUUUUUUACCCUUGUCUUCUUUGAUCAGUUGACUUCUUGGUUGGGCAGAUGGAUGGAGGGUGACUGUUCUUCAUACAAAUACCUGCAUUUGGUUAAUCUUACGUUGUUAUAUAUAUGGUCAUCUUAUCAGGCAGCAGAUCAGAACCGUAGCACGUGUGCAGCACAAACCAUGGUGAGAGGACAACGGAGGCAAAUGGUGUCCAAGAAACCCAUCGGUUAAAAACUAUUUGUUCAAGGUACUUGGUGGACAUUUUCAAGUGAGAUAGAUUUCCAAAAGUUCAUGAAUGAUUCAUUAAAACAAGGGAAACAAAUCCAGUGAGGCAUUCAUUCGUUGUAAAUAUUUCAUUGUGCUUUAAUGUGUUUAGGAGUGAUAUUUAAAAUAUAUUUCCUAGGUUUAUAACCAAUACAUCUGAGAAAAAGCUGACCUAGAAGCAGAAUCUGCCAUUGACUUCAGAGCCAAAGGCUGGUGCUGAAAUUGUCUGAAGUGAAUCUCAAUGAGUUUAGAUGCUGCCCAUGGUAUUUUACAAUUCUUGAAUGACUCAGACUUCCCACAGAGAUGAGCUGCUAAAGCUCUCACCUGUUUGGCUGCCAGAACAGCUAUAGCCAUAGUGAAGCAGAAAGCAUGGAAAUUCUGAAUGUGACUUUCAGUACCAGAGUGCUCUCAAGGGGAGGAUGUGAUUUGUCCAGCCUAAGCCUCCAUCACUGGGCAUGCCGUGGCAGCAGUCAGGGCAGAAACACAGGAGGGGAGUAACUUGCAUGGGAUGGUGUCAUGUCACUUUCAGAGCCACAAUCUGAACAGAAGUAUUAUUUCUGUGUGGGUUCCUCUUCAUUUUUCAAUUCAAGUUUUUUAUUCUCAGGUCACCGUGGAUGUCCUUUGUUUCUGUUACUGUGAUGAUCACCAACUUGCUGCAAUGUCUGCUCUGCAGUGCAUCUGUCAUCAUGAGGCUGUGACACUAUAAAGAUGCCCAGCUGCUUCGCUUGAACACUUUUAAUGUGAUCUUUGUUGUUCCAUGGUUUCUCCGAACAUUUAUGUCCUCCUUUAAUGAUGAAUAUGUCCUACCUGCAAAAUCUCAUGUAAAAGCCCCUAGGAAGGGACUGACUCAUGCCAACAGCAGGACCUCACCCACAUCCCUUUUCCAUCCCGCUGGGAUGGGAAAACUGGCUGCUGAACGCACCAUUUGCAGGGAGCAAGAGAGCAGAAGAUGGAGCAUAUUCCUAGAAGUAAAGCAGGAAAUGAGCCACAGCUGUGAACCAGCUGACUGUAAAGGCCAUUCAUGUUCCAUCUUGGUCUCAGGGAUGCAGCCUGUGCAGUGCCUGCAGUUUCAGUGGCUCAGCUUCACAUUUGCACCUGGGUGAGAUGAGCAGGAUAGCUUGCAUUUUGCAGCUCCAGGGAGAAAAGAUGAUGCUUUCUGUAUGGUAAGUGGAAAAAAAUAGAUUUAAAUUAAAUUAGAUAGAAUGUGAAAGAUGAUCCUACCUCUGUUCAAGUGGUUGGUACUGUACUAAUAAGGAAACCUAUGACACCAGAUGUAAAAAUAGCUGUUACUUAAUGAGCUGAUCUGACUGGCCUCAAACAAAACCAUGGAUAUGCUGGAUAUAUUGCUAAUAUGGUAAUUGUGUUGCUUUUUAUCGAUCUGGGAACAUUUUAUCUUAGUUAAAGGGCACAGCCUGAGAAAUUGGUGUGGAGGGAUGCUGGGGAGAGACCAGCUUUGGCUUUGCAGGCAGGGUUUGGGGCUCUAACACUGCAAUACCUUUAUAAAUAACUACACGUGCAGACAUCUCCUGUGCCAGGCGCUGUGCUGCUUGACAGGAUGAGGCAAGGGGCUCAGACCAGGCUUCCUCAGGCUACCUCCAUGUCCCAGCCUUACAGAACGCGUGCUGCUGGGGCAGAGCAUCUGUCUUUUCUGUCCUACUUGCAGUGUGACUCCCUUGCACUAUUUGCAAAACAGAAGUGGGUUUGUUUGUUUGUUUGGCAACGGUCAAGGUGACCAGGAUCACUGAGGAGCUGUUUUUGCUCUCUAACGCCAGGCUUUCUGCCAGGGUAAAUUCAUAAAUGCUAGUGGAAGGGGUUUAUGCAUGCAGCAGUGAAAGCGAGAGGAAUUUCAACCUGCUUUAUGAGAAGUUGUGGUUUUGAAUGUGGAAAAGAACAGAUGAUGCUCUGAGUAUCUGACAAGGCUCUGGCCUUUGUGCUUCUGAGCAGAGAGAGCCAGCAGGGCAGGGCUGGUCUGGGGACACCAAUGGGAGCUUCCUUGUAUGAAAACACACAGUAAUGCUUUGGUUCUCUGCUCUUCCAAAUUUCUUUUUGCUAGCAAACAGGCAAUAAAAAUCUAGAUCAGUUUAAAAUGUUCCAAUCUUGCUAAAUUGAUUUUAAAAUCGAUCAAAUGGCACAACAGCCUCAAACUGGCCUAAUGAAACCAUUAUAAUCCUCAUUUAAAGGACUCUGCUUUAACCAGCAAAUUAGAAAUCAGCUAUGCCAUCAGUUUUCAUUAGUUUUGCAAGUUACGGUGCAUCUCAGACAGAAGCAAAUACAAGUUUAAGUGGCGUACCAUUAAUUCAGCUAAAGCAUCUCAGUCAGUGAUUAAAUUUACCUUUCAGCACACACGUAUUGAGGCUGUGUCCCCAGCAGCAGCAGCAGCCUCAGCUCCUGGGAGGGUUCACAGCUUGAUUGGGCAGAGCUCGGUGUGCAAGCAUAUCUUAAUGCACACACGGGGUUUUUUGUUCCUGUUUUACUGCUAGAUGUAGCUUUCUGACUGGCAGUGUAAUGGGCAACUAUAAACACUCACGAGUUUCUACUCUGACCAAGUCCAUGAGAGCUCUAAACAAGACCUGCUAACCCGGACGUCAGCCGCCAGUGCUUGUGCUUUUCACCAGCACAGAGCCAGUGUAUUUCUGGCUAUAGUAAGGACCAACUUGGACAAGAAGUUGUUUGUAAGAAUCAUUCAGGAAGCCAUCCUUCUACAGCAAGGAAAUCCUGUACUGGGCUAUAUGUGGUUCAGAGAAGCCGGGUCUGCCUGCAGGCUAUGUGCUUCAGAGGUGUUCCACCCUGCUGAUAGCUGCUGAGCAGACAGGCGGAGGUGGUGAGAACAUCCCACUUAAUAAAUAGAAAAUACCUGAAGAAAGGACAUGUAACAACAGUCCUGCACGCCCAAACUCCUGGGUGUCCACGGACAUGCCCUGGAGGCCUGGGCUGCUCAGUCUAAGAAGGGACUUCCGUGUCAGGUAGUGGUGAAAGCACCAGACUGACAAUGACACCUGUGUGUGCCUUCUGCCUUUCUGCUGCUGCUUCUCCCUCCUCAGAUAGCGAGCUCCCUGUGCAGAAUGCUUUUCCCACAGCUCAGACGGGGUCUGGCAUGCUGUAGCACUGACAUCUCGGUUACACAGAUGAAUGAAAUACCACUUGCUGUGGAAAACUUCAUGGAUGCUACAUACCCAGCAUGUCUUUUUGCCUCCACAAACCUCCCCUGGCAAUAUCACAUGGAUGUCCAUUUUUAGCUCAGUGUAGUACGUGAUUAAGUAUAACACUAUUCCUUAUUUAGAGAACAGGAUAUCCUGGACAUGAGGCAUUCUGAAGCAAGUGCUUGGAUAAUAUUUAUUUAAACAAUGGGUGAUUUAAAUAAUGGUAGGAAAAAUCAGUGUUGUGGAUCCUCCUUGGCUAUGAUUUGAGGUCACGGUUAUUCGUGUACAACCUGUUAUUUUUCUGGAACAUGCAAUUGUAAUAAAAAACCCCAAAGGCUUUUAUUCUUUAUAUAGAAGAGAAAAAAAAGAUUAUUACUUAAGUGGGGAAAAAAAUAGAAAACGUUAAAACUUUCCUGCAAGUACGUUUGUUUUAAUCCAAACAAAUGAGCUGUUACUUCUUCGGGAGGGGCAGAAAACGUAUCUGACAGCCACCUCAGAAGUGAGUGCGUUGCAUGGGGUCCAUCUCCAUACAGUGGUGGGAGACGGAGCAGAGGGCGGCCUACCACUGCUCCUUGUUCUCAGGCUCAAUCUGUUCUUGCUACCUGAAACAAGAGGAGCUCUACUCCAGACAAGAUAGCAUGGUUGUUUAUUUUCCUCUGUGAUGAGCUGUAAAAUGCAGACUACUGAUAGGAUGUAAUAACAUGGAUGAGCUGCUUCCAUUGCAAAGCAGACAGUCCCAGUGGUGUAAUUUUGGUAGGACUGGAACGAUGGGUAAUGAGAAAUGACACUUCUUACUAUUCGGUAACUGGAAGUAGUUUUGUGUUUGACCCCUUUGUUUCUGGUACAGCAGCCAGAAAUGCUGUUAGCCUGGGGGAUUGGGGAGAUGGAGUCGCUCUUUAAAUGGCAAUUUCCAAGUAAGGUCUUGACAGCAAAACUGGGCAGUUGCUUGUCCCUAUUAAGACUCCAACAUCUGACAUAUUCAGUAUUUUGUCCAGAGAGCUGGCCUGUGCUCAGAGCAUGCUGAAGCAGCCUAGGUUCUGCAGGCAGACCACUGGCCAUCCUUCACCAGCCCAGGCUCCACACUUCUCGCCUUGCUGCUGGCUGAAAAGGUGAGAGAGUACAGGCUAGUAAUUUACACCAUGGAGGUAAAAAUCAAAACUGUGAGCUAACUCUGGUCCUCAUUUUGGGGUUGUGGUUAUUGGAGUACAACCUGCUGUUUGGCAGCCUGAGUCAGCCUGCCACAUCACUGCCCGGGAGACAUACAGCUGUGUGCUGAGCCCCAGCUUGCUCUCCCCUGGAGUGGCUGCUGGAACACUGCUGUCAGCCCCGGCUUGCAUCCCACUGCCUCAGGUGCUGUCUGGAUUUCCUCCAGCCGGAGGACCUCUAUGCAUAGCUGUGGGGGAUGCAGCUUUCCCCGUGUGCAGGUCCUGCUGCGAUAGCGGCCGUGCUGCGGAGUUCCAGGCCCCAACACAGCUCUGUUGCCUCUUGCAGACUUGGCAGUGUGUGUGCCAAGCAGUGUGCAGCUUGCAGGCUGGAUCCAAAGCUGGUGUGCCGAUAG
rnacentral:lncRNA from 1 species